CCUACGGGGGGCAGCAGUGAGGAAUAUUGGUCAAUGGCCGGAAGGCUGAACCAGCCAUGCCGCGUGAAGGUCAGUGCCCUAUGGGCGUUAAACUUCUUUUGUGCGGGAGCAAUAAUGGUCACGUGUGGCCAGACGAGAGUACCGUACGAAUAAGCAUCGGCUAACUCCGUGCCAGCAGCCGCGGUAAUACGGGGGAUGCAAGCGUUAUCCGGCUUUAUUGGGUUUAAAGGGUGCGUAGGCUGGGAGGUAAGUCAGCGGUGAAAUGCCCCCGCUCAACGGGGUGAAGUGCCAUUGAUACUGCCUGGCUGGAAGGCGGAUGCCGUGGGAGGAAUGUGUGGUGUAGCGGUGAAAUGCAUAGAUAUCACACAGAACACCGAUUGCGAAGGCAUCUCACGAAUCCGCGAUUGACGCUGAUGCACGAAAGCGUGGGUAUCAAACAGGAUUAGAUACCCCAGUAGUC
rnacentral:rRNA from 1 species